rnacentral:rRNA from 1 species
UACGGAGGGUGCAAGCGUUAUCCGGAUUUAUUGGGUUUAAAGGGACCGUAGGCGGAUCUGUAAGUCAGUGGUGAAAUCUCAUAGCUUAACUAUGAAACUGCCAUUGAAACUGCAGGACUUGAGUAAAGUAGAAGUGGCUGGAAGAAGUAGUGUAGCGGUGAAAUGCAUAGAUAUUACUUAGAACACCAAUUGCGAAGGCAGGUCACUAUGUUUUAACUGACGCUGAUGGACGAAAGCGUGGGGAGCGAACAGG